rnacentral:rRNA from 1 species
CUGUCUGAAUAUGGGGGGCCCAUCCUCCAAGGCUAAAUACUCCUGACUGACCGAUAGUGAACCAGUACCGUGAGGGAAAGGCGAAAAGAACCCCGGCGAGGGGAGUGAAAAAGAACCUGAAACCGUGUACGUACAAGCAGUGGGAGCACGCUUAGGCGUGUGACUGCGUACCUUUUGUAUAAUGGGUCAGCGACUUAUAUUCUGUAGCAAGGUUAACCGAAUAGGGGAGCCGAAGGGAAACCGAGUCUUAACUGGGCGUUAAGUUGCAGGGUAUAGACCCGAAACCCGGUGAUCUAGCCAUGGGCAGGUUGAAGGUUGGGUAACACUAACUGGAGGACCGAACCGACUAAUGUUGAAAAAUUAGCGGAUGACUUGUGGCUGGGGGUGAAAGGCCAAUCAAACCGGGAGAUAGCUGGUUCUCCCCGAAAGCUAUUUAGGUAGCGCCUCGUGAAUUCAUCUCCGGGGGUAGAGCACUGUUUCGGCAAGGGGGUCAUCCCGACUUACCAACCCGAUGCAAACUGCGAA